rnacentral:lncRNA from 1 species
UGCAGUGUUGUAAGAAGUAGAAGCUGUCUUUGGUUGAUGGAUUCUUCAUGUGAGGAAUACCUAGUAAUGAAAACUGUGAGUUCAAGACUGAUUGAUCUGCGAGGUCUUCCUUGACAGAGCUCCUGAAUGAUCCCUCCAUCUGUAUGCAAAAUGACAUUUGAAGAACCACUUUUCAUUUGUUUUGAGUUUUUUUGAUGUGUACAGAUUAGUCAUUGGUGCCUCUGGGUUUCCAUUGAAAAUAAUGCAAGAAGAGUCUAUCAAUAUGGGAUGUGAAGAACUGACAAUGAAAGGUUUUAUCUUUCUAAGGUGGAUAGAAGAUGUAUCAUGGUUCUGGAGGUCUUAGAAUUAUAAGAACAUAAAUAAGAAAAUAAGUGGAUGGC